UACGAAGGGUGCAACCGUUGCUCGGAAUUACUGGGCGUAAAGCGUGCGUAGGUGGUUUGUUAAGUCUGAUGUGAAAGCCCUGGGCUCAACCUGGGAAUUGCAUUGGAUACUGGCAGGCUAGAGUGCGGUAGAGGAUGGCGGAAUUCCCGGUGUAGCAGUGAAAUGCGUAGAGAUCGGGAGGAACACCUGUGGCGAAGGCGGCCAUCUGGACCAGCACUGACACUGAGGCACGAAAGCGUGGGGAGCAAACAGG
rnacentral:rRNA from 1 species